rnacentral:rRNA from 1 species
AUACGGAAGGUCCGGGCGUUAUCCGGAUUUAUUGGGUUUAAAGGGAGCGCAGGCGGAGAUGCAAGCGUGACGUCAAAUUUCGGGGCUCAACCCCGUCUCGCGUCGCGAACUGCGUCCCUUGGUUGCGGGAAGGGGAGGCGGAACUCGUGGUGUAGCGGUGAAAUGCAUAGAUAUCACGAAGAACUCCGAUCGCGAAGGCAGCCUUCCGGCCCGUCAACGACGCUCAUGCUCGAAGGUGCGGGUAUCAAGCAGGAUUAGAUACCCUGGUAGUCCGCACAGUAAACGAUGGACACCCGCGGUUUGGCCUGUAUGGCUGAGCCGCCAAGCGAAAGCGUUAAGUGUCCCACCUGGGGAGUACGCCGGCAACGGUGAAACUCAAAGGAAUUGACGGGG